AAAUUCCGGAAAAAUUCUCUCCUCCUCCGUCCCUCGCUCUGGCCUCGCGAUCUCUCUCUCCCUCCUCCCUCCUCCUCCUCCCCCCUCCGCCGUCGCCCCCCCGCCUUCAUGUGAUCGGCGCCUGAUCUCGAGAGCGCUCGGCACCGCGUUUCCCAGCAUGGUCCUCAAGCGGCGUGCUCGUGUGAUCACUUAUGGUGGUGGUGUGAAUCCAAAACAUUUAAGAGUAUCUAGAUGCUCUUCUUCUUAUGGAGUAGACCUCGAGGGUCGAUUGGAUGCCAUUGAACGCAGGCUAGAUCAGAUUGAAGAUGAACUUCAAGCAACUCGACAGGAAAAUGCUGCUCUUAGGCGUCGAAUGGAUGAGUUUGAAGCCACGUAUCAGGAAAUGAUCCGCUUUGUGCAACAUUCACGUCGCACUCAGGAUGGUAGCUCAUCAUUGCCUCCAGAAGGAGCACCUCAGGGCUCCAAGUCUUAAAACUUUGGAGGAGCAGUACUCUGAUGCUGUGGACCAUCUGACAGGUAUGUGUGGAACUGCAAGGCAGAAUGGGAAUCUGGGAAAUGAAGGUGCUUAGAAAUGCAAAGAGGAAUUUCGGUCUCUCAGCUGCAACUUGGGGGAAGUAGAUAUUAGAUAGCAUUCUCCUUUUGCAUCAUGGUGUUUAUAAGUGUACCUAACAUCUUUAGUGUGGUUUGCUUCAUUGCAAAGUGUGAAGGAGAAGAUAUUUAUUACUUUAAGAAAAGAAAGAAGAAAUCAAAUGAAUACCAUGGUGCUUGUUUAUAA